rnacentral:lncRNA from 1 species
CUUGAAUAGAAGACAGCUCUGAGAGUAUAUGGGGAUUAAGUGGGAAAGACCCAAGUGCUUGGAAAAGAUCUUGUAGAGAAGGUUUGUCCUUGGCUUCCUGAGGAAGGUACAAUAAAGUUAGCAGCCUGGAAGAAGGUUGGGCAAAGACUUCAAGUUAGUAUCACGUGCAUGGACCAGGUAAAGUGCCUGUCCGUACCUUUAGCCUUUGAACCUUGAUUAGAGCUACUUGGAGAGGCAAACCCGGUGAGAGAGACACGGAAACAGAAAGUAAGUUGUUCCGGAGCUGCUCUGGAGGCACGCAGCGGGCGAGCGCCUGGUCUCCGGUCUCCAGCAGGCCCCACUCCGGGCCUCGGCUGGCUCUCCGCCCGGGUGUCCACGGACCCCUGGGGCAGGGGUGGAGAUGGCCGCAGCGGCGGGACUAGAACGCGGGGAGAAAAAAGAAAAAAGAAAAAAGAAAAAAGGCAGGCGCCGGGACCGAACAAGGGGAGAGGAGUGGCACAGGAGAGGGUGAAGAACCCGGCGGCGCAAGCGGCCCCAGCGGCCGGCAGGAACGCUCUCGCCACUCCCUCCUCCCGCAGCUCCCUCCCUCCUCCGGAGCCAGCAGCUCUGACAGACAAGCAGGAUUCCUGAUUUCCACACAAAUGGCCUCAAAUUUACAUUAUCUAAACUAAUAUAUAUCAUACAAGUCAGGGACUACGUAACAUUGAAACAUGUCUAUAAAAUGUAUGUUUUAUUCAAGUGUCCUCAGAAGAUAAUCCGUCCUUAAUAACUACCCACAUAUUUAAAUAUGCAUGUGCAUACAUAAGUUAUCAACAUUAAAAAUAAAAUACACGUUAAAUAUGAAUUUUAAAGGAUAAAUACAGAUUAUGUGGUGAAUAUAAGUUAUAUACACUGAAUAUGAUCUAUAUAUCUUAGUAUAUAUACAUAUGUAUACAUUAUAUACAAUAAAAAUGUGUACAUUAAAUAUUAA